AAGGGGGGUCGACUCAACGAUAUGCAAGGAGGGGAGUUCAAGGGGACUCGGAUGCAAUUUCACAUGCAAAAUAUAAAGUAAAAUAAGAGAUUAACAUCUAUGGAAGGAAAUAAAGUGAUGAAAAAUAAUAACAUCUACCAGACAUUAUUAAUAAAAUAACACUUGAACAAUAAUUUAAAGGGAAGUUUCUGAUAAGCAGUGAAGGGAAUAGAAUGUUGGGUUAUGGGCCUUUUUCCCUUCCUAUGUGGAUAAAUAAAAGCCCAAUUUGGACCAACCCAUUUUUUGCUCAUAGUUCCAUUCUUAUGAGGCAAAUAUAAGCCUAUUUAGGUCUUAUUUUCAAAUACACAGAGUUUUUCAGCAACCAAAAAGAGAGAAAGAGAACAGUUUUCGCAGUCAAAAUUCAGCCCUAAUAGCCAACUUCAAAUUGCGAUUCCCGCUUCGUUUCUUGUCCGAUUGAGCUGAUUUUUGGACAGCAUAUUAUCUUCAUCUCAAUCUUUGAUUAGGAACUGACAGAGUUGGAUUUGGUGGCCUGCAGCUUCAGUUUUUCUGUCAUGAACAGUAGCUGCGAAAUUGGUGAU
rnacentral:misc_RNA from 1 species